rnacentral:rRNA from 1 species
AUUGAACGCUGGCGGCAGGCCUAACACAUGCAAGUCGAGCGAGCGGCUGUCGGGUGAGUAAUGCCUGGGAAACUGUCUGAUGGCGGGGGAUACCUCCUGGAAACGGCAGCUAAUACCGCAUACCAUCAGAUGUGCCCAGAUGGGACUAGCUAGUGGGUGGGGUAAUGGCUCACCUAGGCAACGAUCCCUAGCGGGUCUGAGAGGAUGACCAGCCACACUGUAACUGAGACACGGACCAGAUUCCUACGGGAGGCAGCAGUGGAGAAUAUUGCACAAUGGGCGAGAGACUGAUGCAGCCAUGCCGCGUGUAUGAAGAAGGCCUUCGGGUUGUAAAGUACUGUCAGCGAGGAGGCGUUACUCGCAGAAGAAGCACCGGCUAACGCCGUGCCAGCAGCCGCGGUAAUUC